rnacentral:rRNA from 1 species
UACGUAGGGUGCAAGCGUUGUCCGGAUUUAUUGGGCGUAAAGAGCUCGUAGGCGGUUUGUCGCGUCGGAUGUGAAAACCCAGGGCUCAACCUCGGGCCUGCAGUGGGUACGGGGCAGACUAGAGUGCGGUAGGGGAGAUUGGAAUUCCUGGUGUAGCGGUGGAAUGCGCAGAUAUCAGGAGGAACACCGAUGCGAAGGCAGAUCUCUGGGCCGUAACUGACGGCUGAGGAGCGAAAGCGUGGGGAGCGAACAGG